rnacentral:rRNA from 1 species
UGCAGUUAAAAAGCUCGUAGUUGGAUUUCGGAGUGGGCCAGUUGGUCCGCCGCAAGGUGUGUUACUGACUGGUUUGCUCUUCUUCGCAAAGACUGCGUGUGCUCUUGAGUGAGUGUGCGUAGGAUUUACGACGUUUACUUUGAAAAAAUUAGAGUGUUCAAAGCAGGCUAUUGCUUGAAUACAUGAGCAUGGAAUAAUGGAAUAGGACUUUGGUCCCAUUUUGUUGGUUUCUAGGGCCGAAGUAAUGAUUAAGAGGGACAAUUGGGGGCAUCCGUAUUUCGUUGUCAGAGGUGAAAUUCUUGGAUUUACGAAAGACGAACAACUGCGAAAGCACUUGCCAAGAGUGUUUUCAUUAAUCAAGAACGAAAGUUAGAGGAUCGAAGACGAUCAGAUACCGUCCUAGUUCUAACCAUAAACGAUGUCGACUAGGGAUCAGCGGGCGUUAUCGUACGACCCCGUUGGCACCUUACGGGAAACCAAAGCUUUUGGAUUCCGGGGGAAGUAUGGUUGCAAAGCUGAAACUUAAAGGAAUUGACGGAAGGGCACCACCAAGGAGUGGGAGCCUGUGGCUCAAUUUGGACUCAACAC